GCAACUGCUCAUGGCUCAUUAAAUCAGUUAUAGUUUAUUUGCUAAUCAAAUCUACAUGGAUAACUGUGGUAAUUCUAGAGCUAAUACAUGCUGUCAAACCUAACUUCUGGAAAGGUUGUAUUUAUUAGAUAUCAAACCAUCAUUGGUGAUGAUUCAUAGUAACUGAUCGAAUCGUAGUCCGCUACGAUAAAUCAUUCAAGUUUCUGCCCUAUCAGCUUUCGAUGGUAGUGUAUUGGACUACCAUGGCGGUCACGGGUAACGGAGAAUUAGGGUUCGAUUCCGGAGAGGGAGCCUGAGAAACGGCUACCACAUCUACGGAAGGCAGCAGGCGCGUAAAUUACCCAAUCCCAAUUCGGGGAGGUAGUGACAAGAAAUAACAACUCGGGCGGCGCAAGCCGUUGCGAGAUUGCAAUGGGUACAAUUUAAAACACUUAACGAGUAACAAUUGGAGGGCAAGUCUGGUGCCAGCAGCCGCGGUAAUUCCAGCUCCAAUAGCGUAUAUAANAGUUGUUGCAGUUAAAAAGCUCGUAGUCGAAAUUCUGGCUGGUCCUGUAUCCGGCUUCGGUCGACUCAGGAACUAGUCAUCCGUCGGAGAACCCUUGUCGUCUUCACUGGUCGCUUAAGGGAACUGACCCCUUACUUUGAAAAAAUAGAGUGUUUCANGCANGCUCUCGCCCGAAUACUCAGCAUGGAAUAAUGGAAUAAGACUUUCUCUAUUUUUGUGGUU
rnacentral:rRNA from 1 species